rnacentral:snRNA from 1 species
GUGCUCGCUUUGGCAGCACAUAUACUAAAACUGGAAUGAUACAGAGAAGAUUAGUAUGGCCCCUGCAAAAGGAUGACAUGCAAAUUCAUGAAGCGUUCCAUAUUAAA